rnacentral:lncRNA from 1 species
GUACCCUCUGUCAUUCUCUGAUCAUUUUCUGAGACCCUAAGCCCUUGCCAUGGCCUGCCCCUCUGCAGAGUUGCAGGUAUAGGAGGACUAAAUGGAGAGCCUGUGUUCUCAAACAGCCCUGCUGAGGGAAAAGUUGUGACAUGUGCUGGGCAGGAUGGGAGGGCAAAGAUACUUAGUAAGGACCAAACUUCAGUCCAUAGCUAUCACCUUUCUUUUAGGACCAUCGAGGAAGCCCUCUCUGCUAAGUCAUCAAGGCCAUAUACUGGAACCUGGAAUGAGCCUCACACUGCAGUGUUACUCUGACACCAAGUAUGACAAAUUUGCUCUGUACAAAGAAGGGGGAACUGACAUCAUAGAAUCCUUUAGCCAGUGGACCAAGGCUGGCCUCUCCAUGACCAACUUCACACUGGGCUAUGGGAGACACUCCACUGGAGGCCAAUACAGAUGCUAUGGUGCACACAACCUCUCCUCUGAGUGGUCAGCCUCCAGUGACCCCCUGGACAUCCUGAUCACAGGACAGAUUUAUGACACACCUUCCCUCUCAGUGAUGCCCAACUCCACAGU